AUGAGAAUAAAUAGCACUAUUUAUACAAAUUGAUAAAAUAUAUAUGCAGAACUUUGUCGUUUGGAGACAAGGCCCUUUGUCGGGACGUUAACACUUCAUAAUGGUUGCAAAACUAAUGAAAAGAGGUGUGAAAAGAAGGACGUAGAAAACAACACUUUUGAAAUUCAACCGUAUGAAUAUUCACAUCACAUUUAGUUAUUAUUACGAAAACUUGAAUAAAUUGCUGCAAUUUUAUGUACAAAUGAUUGAAUAAACAACAAAAUUAAUAUUACAGACAUCUAUUGAAUGGUAAACGUCAAUUAAAAUAUUUAUGUGUUUAGAUCCUAUAAAAUUGAUAAACUAUAUGAUUAACAUUGUGAAGUGGCGGCGAAACUGUUUUUAUUUAGGGUCAAUUUUCAGCUAAGUAGUGGAUGUCGUGGUUCUCAGCUAAAUGUAAACUGACUAUACGCAAUUACUAACAUUAUAAAAAAAAAACUAAAAAAAAACGCUGCAAAAAAUGCUUCGUAAUUGGAUUUGAUCAGUUUAGAGGACAUAGUGGGGGCUGAAAUCGACAGCAAAUUAACAUCAAUUUAACUACUUGGCGAAAACUAUAUCCCAGUUCAAAUUCACUUUAGGUGUACGUCAAUCAUUGACCAUAAUGUCGCUAAUUUUGUUCACAUUAGGGCCAUUCACAAAGGAUGUCCGAGCCGACGGGGGAGGGGGGUUUGGAAAAUCAGGACAAACUCGGACAUAGGGGGGGGGGGGGGGCCAAAAUUUUAAAAAGUUCAAAAACAAAUUUCUUUUCCCUCUAUUUUGAGCAGUCCUUCCCAUUGUGAAAUUGGCAUUUUGACUAUGCGGUUAACACUAGAUUUUGUUUUAAUUAGUAAUUUAUAUGUUUUUGUGUUCACAUUUACAGUUAUAAAAAGUUCUAAAAGUAAAAAAAAAUAUUUUACUCUUGAUAUAUACAAGGUUGUGUGAGUUUUUGCGAGGCAUGGCGGUUGUCCGGGGGGAGUGGGGUCACUAAUUCGGACAAUGCCGGACAAGGGGGGAGGGGGGGUCUGAAAAUCCAUAAUUUGGCCGGACAUCCUUUGUGAAUGGCCCCUUACAUUUCAUGCAGCAAUCUCGAAACUUCAUUUUACUGUUUUACUUUGAUCCUUUUCGUUUCGUUUCGUGAACCGCCAGGAUCACCAGUGACAAUCAGUGUCAUCAUUUUCAGCACGCGUUACAUCUGGUAAAUAUGAGACGAGAUAUUCACCACGCGAAACACGCUUUCAAACGCGCGUCCCAAACUGAUACUUAAAAAACCAUAUCGCGAUUAUCGUCUAGAAUAUUAUUUAACAAUUAUUCGCCGAAAGUGAGGUGAUUAUCGGGGAAAAUUCGCCGAGAAGAAGUCGAGGUGAAUAUCCCCUGGUAAUUACCGAGCCUGAGGCGAAUAAUUGUUUUAGUAUUUUUGCACAAGCUUUUUUGUGUUUUCUGGUCUGAAUACAUUUUAAUUUCGCUUAUUUCUUUGUCACUAACUUCAACAAAACGGCUAGCCGCCAUUUUGAAAGUUUUGAUUUUGUUAUAUUCACCUGUAGGUGAAUAUAACAGAUUAAUACGUAAAAUUUGACCAAUCAACGUGUAGGAUUUGUUAUGUUCACUUGUGCAAAAAUAGUAAUACACAAUAUUCGCAAUGAAUGCAAAAGCGCAGUUUCAACAGUAAAAACAUUAACAAAACGAGCAACACCAACAACUAAUACGAUAUAUUUUAUAUCUGAUUGCCAACAACAAAUUAAUCUAAAUACCCGACUCAUUUUGUAUGGUACAUAUAGCUUUAAUCAUUGAAUCAUAUUUUAUUAACUGUCCACUGCGACAUCGGCAAAGCAAACGAAAAUGCUUCAAUUGUGGAAACAACUAUCCUCAUUUGCUGUAGAUGGAAUAUGCCCGGCAAAAGGGAAAGCUUUUAGAUUGUGUCAGAAAAUGAACCACUUCGCUCGUUGUUGCCGGUCUACAAAUCGAAAUAUUAAACGCGAUAAUAGUGUCAAUCAUGCCAAAGCUGAAAAUACUACGCAGCGACAAAAACAAGAUACUACAAGCGCAAAUAAAAUCGAGCAGAGCAACCAACACCCGGUAGAUUCGAGUUCUGACGACGAAUACAUAUUUUCGCUUGGAAUAUAAAAACACAUGCAAUUAAAUCCAAAGUUAAAAGCCUCAAAGUUCACGUAAAAAUCUGAAACAUGCCAACAGAAAUUAUGAUCGACGCCGGUUCAAGUGUUGACAUUAUUGACGAACACGCCCUUUUACGAAUGCAAAAAUAUUCACGCAAGACAAAUCAGUCCCCCAUUACUUUAUAUAAGACAAACACAAAGGUAUACAGAUACGGCGCGAAAACACCUCUGCCUAUCGUUGGAAAAUUUGACGUCGAAAUAGAAUCGUCG